rnacentral:rRNA from 1 species
CUUAGUGGCAGACGGGUGAGUAACAUGUGGGUAUCUACCCUUUGGCCUGGAACAACACGGGGAAACUUGUGCUAAUACCGGAUAAGCCCUCACGGGGAAAGUUUUAAUGCCAAAAGAUGAGCCCGCACUUGAUUAGCUAGUUGGUAAGGUAAUGGCUUACCAAGGCAACGAUCAAUAGCUGUUCUUAGAGGAAGACCAGCCACACUGGGACUGAGAUACGGCCCAGACUCC